GUGGGAGCGAGCCUGCUCGCGAUGGCGGUGUGUCAGUCAGCUUCAAUGUUGAUUGAUACAACGCUAUCGCGAGCAGGCUCACUCCUAC
rnacentral:misc_RNA from 1 species